UACAGAGGAUGCAAGCGUUAUCCGGAAUGAUUGGGCGUAAAGCGUCUGUAGGUGGCUUUUUAAGUCCGCCGUCAAAUCCCAGGGCUCAACUCUGGACAGGCGGUGGAAACUACCAAGCUGGAGUACGGUAGGGGCAGAGGGAAUUUCCGGUGGAGCGGUGAAAUGCGUAGAGAUCGGGAGGAAUACCUGUGGCGAAGGCGGCCUACUGGGCCGGACCUGACGCUGAGACGCGAAGGCGUGGGGAGCGAACGGG
rnacentral:rRNA from 1 species